ensembl:lncRNA
CUGACGGGUUCCCGCUUAGAGUCGGCCAAAUGCAGAGCAGGUGUGUCGCGGCCAGAUGAGACGAGGCCAUGGGCCUCAAACAGGUGUGUGUUUGUAAGACUGUGACCGUGUGCAUGUGUGUGUGUGUGUGUGUGUGUGUGUGUGUGUGAGCCUCACAGCCAGGCUCGGGGUGUGUUUGACCAGAGGCUGUGUUCUAGUUUUAGCUCUGACAUUAGGAAUUCUCAAAGUGCCCCUUAAAGUACAAACCACUACCUCUGUUUCCAAUAAAUCCCUAACUGUGCUUCUGUGCAUACAGCUUGUGCAGCUGCAUGCACGUGUUUUGGUGUGACAGUAGACACGUGCCUGGGUUUGCAUGUUUAACUUUAACACUACUUGUACUUUUCCUUCAAAUCUGAUAAAGUGAUUUCCUUUUUUGGUUUAAGCGAAUGUGUGCCUGCAAUGGAAUAGCCAUGAGUGUGGGAGUGCAGCCAGAAAACAUUACGCUACUCCGGUAUUCUAUUCUCUGGACGGACAGAGUUGUCUCUUGUUGUAUGCAGCUGCAUUCAAACUCAUGGGUGGUUUGUAUCCUCAGGCUGGAGGAACACUUUGGAAAACACCUCUCUCUGCAGGGAAUGUUUGUCUGUUACUGGAAUCAUUGGCCUGCGUAGUUAUAGCCAUCUUUCAUCUGAGUUACAUUUUCACUAUUACAGGUCUUAAACCCAACUUGCCUUCUGCUCUUUCGGAAAAAAAAAAGGUUACUGCAGUAUUAUAGAGAAACAAAUUUAGAGCCGUGCACACACUCAUUAAGGUGGAUCAAAAUAAUGGCCUCACCUCAUGGUGUGCACCUUGGAAGACACCUCCACCUCCUCCAUUAACUGCACUCUGCACGACAGGAAUGAACUAAUUAGAAAAGGGAUCAAAAGGUUUAAUUGUAAUGUCAAGCAAUGUAGAAUUAUGCCUGAAAAGUUUAAACAAAUUGCAAUUUAAUGAGUUGCACCUAUUUUCAUCAUGCCCCAGAAUCUCUGGUAAAACCUGCGUGUUUCACAGAAGAGAACCGGUUUUGUUUGCCCGCUAAUGCCAACGCUUUGACUCAUGAUUUAUGGAAUCACUGUGUCUGAAACCUUGGCCUGUUUCAUUGUACGUCAACGUUGUUAAUUAAAACCUGGGGAAAGUUCUAAAUUUGCUUCUUCCACAACAGGCCCUCCACCAAUUUUGACCUGCAGAAGGGAGGCGGACAUUCUUGAGAGGACGAGAAGGUCAAAUUACCAUCCCAAUCAAGUCGGAGGGGGAUGACGAGCAUCUGCAGGACUCCUGCCCCACGACAUCUGCAGACGACUGAGACACCACGACAGGAACACACACACACACACGUGCUGCCUGCACCGCAGUUAAAAAGCACACGCAGCCUAAAAUAGAAGCGAUAGGGAACGAGGUAUUGAGCGGAGUAGAAAGAGCACAGGGAUGUAGACUCAAUGGCAGUAACGUUGUGCUUCAUGUUACUGCCUCAAGAGCAAACAGGAUCUGCUUUAAUAAAGCUGAUAUGUUAACUGCAAAAAUCUCAACUGCCUGUCGCUCGGUGCUAAGCGACAGGGAGCGUACAGCUGGUAAGUUUCAGCAGCUGGUACAGCUGGUAACGACACUGAUAAGUUUCGCACAGGGAAGAACACAAAAGCAAUAAGCCGAAUGAUGCUAAAAUGCUCCGUGGAGCCGAAGGAAACUCACUUAGCUGAUGACCUUCUGUGGGGUCAUCACUACAAGUAAGCACUUUCCACACACACACAGCCCCGUAUCUUCAAACAGGGAGCUCAUCCCAUUUGACACGUGAAAGAUUGAUGCGCUACUCUUUUUUGUCGUCUGAAAUAAUUAGAAAUGCAAAAUUGUUUUUGAAGGAUAGUAUUUCCACCAGAGCGGUUUUAAUCUGCUCCAUUCAUCUCAGUCACACUUAAAGCUAAUUAAAAGGACAAGCUGUUGCAGUGAGAUCGUUUUUCUACCAGAACAGAAUUAAGUUGACUUCUUCAGCUCCCUAAUGACAGAAAUCUCAUAGCAGUGUUUCAAACUAACGAACUGUUCACCAACCUUAAACGCGCGCUCGCAAAGCACGAGUGGAAAUACGGUGACACGUCUCCUACAAACUCAGCUUACUUCCGCCAAUUGCACGCAGGCAGCAGAAAUGAGUUUAAGCAGCAUUUCCGACACAUUUCUGAGCGGCACUAGCCCUUAUAUAAAACUGUGUAGAAGAUUGUGUGAAGGUUCAACAAAGUCACAGUUGCCCAAUGAGAUAAUCACAGGUUCCGUCUGUCUGACCUGCGGAGCAGCGAACGUGUCUUUGUGCACGUAUACGCAAGUGCUGGUGCUCGUGAGUCUAUUUCUGAGUCCAUGUGCGAGGGAAGAUUUAAAGAGGAUUUAAAACAUUGCGUGCCAGCAGGAAACAUUAGUGUGCGUCUCAGAGCUCGCUGAUGUGUGUGAAUGCGAUGAGUUAUUCUCAUCAAACCGUUCACUGGGAAGCCGUGCUACAAUAGGAGAGCUCUGACCUAACUGAAGCCUUUCUGUGGGCGGUCAGCUGGUUGAUACUUUUAGCACUCUUAGGUGAACCAGCUAAAUUACUGUGGCAAGCUGCGAAAUGCCAUUUCUUUCCUAUUUACUGAGGUGUCAGCUCAGCCUUAAAUUGUGCCUGUGUUUCAAGGUAGAAUCUGUGUAUUGGACAAGCUGUGACCUAUACAGGUUGGAAAUGUAUUACUUUUGACCUUUUCGAAUCAUAAUACGACGUUAAACAUUUGGGAAAAGCGCUCACUCCUGUGACCAACGUGUCCCAUGUCCUCCAUGACGUGCAGGAUUUAGUUUUUAGUCCUUUCUACAAACAAAAUGCCACAAUUUAGUGAGCGUGGGUAUUUGGAGAGCGGGUAGAAGACUGAUGACCUCGGUUUAAACAUACCCUGGUUUUGCACUUACCAACAGUACAAAAAGUGUUCCGUUAUAGAAUCAUUAAAAUACCACAUUUCUCUCUUUUCAGUUAAAAAAAGGCGUUUUGCAUUUGCCCAAAAAUAAUGCCGUUUUGGACAGCGAAAAAAACAAGUCACCUCAAAUCUGUUUUAUUUCAACCCAAUUAAGCUUAAUUAUGACAUGCCACUGCCAAUUUCAGUCAAAAGAUAACUCUUUGUAGUUGUUUUCUUUACAUGUCUUGAACGUCAACUUUGUUGCUGAAUGGGUUUGUAAAAAUCUCACAUUUCCAUUUUGUGGCUGUGUGUACUUUGGGAAACAAGACCAGAGGGACCCAAGGAAGCAGAGCAAAACUCUCAAAAGCCUCAAGUGUCAGAGCUAGUUAGCGCGACGUCUUAUUCACACCUCCAUGUGAAUGGAAUUGAUUCAAUUGAUUGAAUCUGUCUGAGAUUAGGUAACCUCGGCGUAUAAUUAGAAAGACACACACGGG